rnacentral:lncRNA from 1 species
AAGAAAGAAAAAACAAGGACAAUGAUAUACAGAGAGAAAAAUGAAGACUGAGAGCAAAGAAGAGACUGAGAUUGAUGGAAUCACGAGGUCUCCCUCCUUUAGCCUGGAAACUCCACAAGAGCAAGAAUUUUGUCCAUUUUUGUUCAUUACAUAUCGCCAACUCCUUGAGCAGUGCCUGGCACUCAGUAGGUGUUUUGCUCUAUGUUGGCAAGAAACCAGGCUGGACAGGGAGAGUGUCUGCAGUUGCCUAAGUGAACACUAGGUGACAGUAUUUAUAAGCCCUGGAGCUUCCAGGCUCCAAGGUCCCAGAGAUGGCGGUGGAGGAUUUGCCGCCACUGACCUCUGACUUUCAGGAUCUCUUCCUCGGGGCUCAGCCCUGCCUUUCCCUGCACAAGCCUUGGGCGAUGAAUGACCUUUCCGCCUGAGACACCCUCUUCACUCUCCUUCACCAGCCUGCCCAGUUAAACAACUCUUUGUCCCUGGCCCCUUCCUGCUGGGCCCCGAGGCACCUGGGUUCUUUCCAGGCCCGGAGAUGGGGCUGCGACAGAGGUGGUGCAGCUGGGACAAGGCCAAGGAAAAAUCCUGGAGACUCUGGAAUCAGUUCUUCCAGUGAUUGAGACCAAGGGUGAGUCACAAGAAGCCCUGAGGCCCUGAGUCACCUCGCCCUCCCCCCUUGGCCCCUCCCUGGGCUGGAGGCAGCUGGCUGAGGAGUGAAGCAGUUUCCUAGGACUGACCCCUGCAUCCCAGGACUGCAGUUUGAAGGCAGGUGCCCUUCCCACUGUAACCCCAUCACUGCCACCCAGGCAUGUCCAUGCCCAUCCUUUGCUGUUUUUCUCUUUCAGUCAUGGCCUAUUUGGAGACAAAAUUUCUCUGUGCUCUAACUUCCGUGUCUUGAUUGUGUUUUCCGGUUUCUCUGCACCUGUGGGUCUCUUUGAUUUUUUUUAAUACAUGCCCCCACCAUCCCUGGC